AAAAAUUUUCAAUCAUUAUAAAUAAGCAAAAUUCCGUAUUUUUUUUUUUUUUUUUUUUUGGAUGGUUGUCUGUUGGGAUGGAUAACUCAUAAAUUUUAAUAAAGCUUGGAGUCCACACCGUUUGUUGCUGGUUUAUGUGUAUCAAUUAUCUGUAGAUGAAUUAAAAAUCUCUGAAGCGGUUAGAUUUCAGCGAUCCAUCAAUGUUUGAGAUUAAUUCUGCCCGAAAUCUAAACCUUCAUAAUUCUCAUCCACGCGUUACUUUUUAUUAUGUCAAGAAGAGCCAUAUUGGAGCAGGACCAACAAGCGUGUUUUGAUUAAUCUACAAUUUUGUAUGGCAUAUGGUGCAGAAUUAUGGCAUUUGGGGUGAGGAAAAUUCUAGGCUAAAUCCCGAAUCACUGGACAUCCAUAUACCUAGCAAGGACAGAUCAGAACAGACCCAGACCCAGAACAGAUGGAUCGAAGAUGGAAAGUGAAUAUCCAGAAGUCAUUUAAAGUAACAACUGCCGAUUGUCAAGCAGCCAUAAAAUUACUAAAUUCAUUUAUCAUUAAAUCGACGGCAGUUCUGCAGUGCAGGAAUGCUCUGGAAAUAGUUAAAUUGUCCUUGAAGCUAAGUUGGGUUCCUGGCCCUUGCAACAUCUUUGGCAAUAAAUCAAAAGAUAAAUUGGCAAAACGUUGAUCGGAGUUAGUUCAUCUAGAAAUUGAGAGCUCGGUGAAGUCAUCCUUGUUCCAUUUUUCCGAGUGAUACAUAAACAUUGCUCUGAGAUAGAGUUAGUUUAAAAUGUUAAGCCAGGAUAACUUUUGCUGCCAAGGUGUGCAAAAUGUCUGAAUUUUUGGAAAUUCAUAUUUCAAGAGAACAAAAAGUACAAAAAGGAAG